GAAGAAAACCCAUCAGGAGGUUUUCAACGUUAGACACACACAAAGAGAGAGAGAGAGAGAGAGAGAGAGAGAGAGAGAGAGUGGAAAGAAGAGGUGGAAGAGUGAUUGAAAACACAAUUCAGUAGGUUCGGAGGCGACAACGAGUACCCCAGCUCCACGUAGGGAGUGACUGCGUUGGUUUUCUUUUUGUUGGAGACCGAGUUUUGCAGGUAUAGGUCGGUGUCCACUACAGGUCGCGUUUUGCAUUUUGUGACUCGCUCGAGAAGUGCGUAGUUGAGGCUUGUGGGAGUCUUUGUCUCCUGGCCCGUAGAUGAUUUUUGCUUAAUUUAGUUUUGGAUAAUAGUUGGUUAUGUAAAGUUUAUUUCUUGUCAGACUUCCGCUGUAGUUUGUAAAUGACAAUCAUUUUUGAGAUGUAAAUAAAAUGUAGCUGUUGAACUGUA